rnacentral:rRNA from 1 species
UGGUUGAUCCCGCCGGAGGUUACUGCUAUUGGUGUUCGACUAAGCCAUGCAAGUCAUAUGUUCCUCGUGAACAUGGCAUACUGCUCAGUAACACGUGGAUAACCUGCCCUUGGGUCUGGGAUAACCCCGGGAAACUGGGGAUAAUACCGGAUAACGCAUAUGUGCUGGAAUGCUUUAUGCGUAAAACGGAUUCGUCCGCCCAAGGAUGGGUCUGCGGCCUAUCAGGUAGUAGUGGGUGUAAUGUACCUACUAGCCAACAACGGGUACGGGUUGUGAGAGCAAGAGCCCGGAGAUGGAUUCUGAGACAUGAAUCCAGGCCCUACGGGGCGCAGCAGGCGCGAAAACUUUACAAUGCGGGAAACCGUGAUAAGGGAACACCGAGUGCCAGCAUCAUAUGCUGGCUGUCCAGAUGUGUAAACUACAUCUGUUAGCAAGGGCCGGGCAAGACCGGUGCCAGCCGCCGCGGUAACACCGGCGGCCCGAGUGGUGACCGUUAUUAUUGGGUCUAAAGGGUCCGUAGCCGGUUUGGUCAGUCCUCCGGGAAAUCUGAUAGCUUAACUGUUAGGCUUUCGGGGGAUACUGCCAGGCUUGGAACCGGGAGAGGUAA